AUUGAACGCUGGCGGCAGGCCUAACACAUGCAAGUCGAACGGUAACAGGAAGACGCUUGCUUCUUUGCUGACGAGUGGCGGACGGGUGAGUAAUGUCUGGGAAACUGCCUGAUGGAGGGGGAUAACUACUGGAAACGGUAGCUAAUACCGCAUAACGUCGCAAGACCAAAGAGGGGGACCUUCGGGCCUCUUGCCAUCGGAUGUGCCCAGAUGGGAUUAGCUAGUAGGUGGGGUAACGGCUCACCUAGGCGACGAUCCCUGGCUGGUCUGAGAGGAUGACCAGCCAAAAGGGAACGGAGAGAGGGUCCAGACUCGGACGGGGGGCAGGAGGGGGGAAUAUUGCAAAAGGGGGGCAAGCCGGAGGCAGCCAGGCCGGGGGUAUGAAGAAGGCCGUGGGGUUGGAAAGUAAUUGCAGGGGGGGGGAAGGGAGAAAGGUUAAUACCUUGGGUAAUUGAGGUUACCCGGAGAAGAAGCACGGGGUAACUCCGU
rnacentral:rRNA from 1 species